rnacentral:rRNA from 1 species
CCUACGGGAGGCAGCAGUAGGGAAUCUUCCACAAUGGACGAAAGUCUGACGGAGCAACGCCGCGUGAGUGAAGAAGGGUUUCGGCUCGUAAAGCUCUGUUGGUAGUGAAGAAAGAUAGAGGUAGUAACUGGCCUUUAUUUGACGGUAAUUAAUUAGAAAGUCACGGCUAACUACGUGCCAGCAGCCGCGGUAAUACGUAGGUGGCAAGCGUUGUCCGGAUUUAUUGGGCGUAAAGCGAGUGCAGGCGGGUCAAUAAGGCAGAUGUUAAAGCCUUCGGCUCAACCGGAGAAUUGCAUCAGAAACUGUUGAACUUGAGUACAGAAGAGGAGAGUGGAACUCCAUGUGUAGCGGUGGAAUGCGUAGAUAUAUGGAAGAACACCAGUGGCGAAGGCGGCUUUCUGGUCUGCAACUGACGCUGAGGCUCGAAAGCAUGGGUAGCGAACAGGAUUAGAUACCCCUGUAGUC